rnacentral:misc_RNA from 1 species
AUAUGGAGAAGUAAGAUCGUGGCACGCGUACGUAUGGAAUGUGCUUAACGCGUAAGCUUCUGGUGCAUUCUUUCGCAACGUGCAUUCGGUGAGCUACGCCGGUAAUCGAUGUUGUGUGAAAUUAUACCACGUACCUUGCCAAGACUAUGUAUGCACAAGAAAUCGCUGUCGUUUGCUCGUGAAGAGGCGAGAAUGGCCAUUGGCGUAUGUGUUCCUUCACGAUAUGGCCUCCAGCAAGCGUUGUUUGUUGUUGCUUGGCGGCAAAAUCUAGGUUGGAGGUAACGUCAUCGGCUGCUUGAAGAAGGAAUGCGCGCUGAAUGGUUGACAUCAAA